GAUGAACGCUGGCGGCGUGCCUAAUACAUGCCAGUCGAGCGAACGGACGAGAAGCUUGCUUCUCUGAUGUUAGCGGCGGACGGGUGAGUAACACGUGGAUAACCUACCUAUAAGACUGGGAUAACUUCGGGAAACCGGAGCUAAUACCGGAUAAUAUUUUGAACCGCAUGGUUCAAAAGUGAAAGACGGUCUUGCUGUCACUUAUAGAUGGAUCCGCGCUGCAUUAGCUAGUUGGUAAGGUAACGGCUUACCAAGGCAACGAUGCAUAGCCGACCUGAGAGGGUGAUCGGCCACACUAGACCUAAGACACGGUCCAGACUCCUACGGGAGGCAGCAGUAGGGAAUCUUCCGCAAUGGGCGCAAGCCUGACGGAGCAACGCCGCGUGAGUGAUGAAGGUCUUCGGAUCGUAAACCUCUGUUAUUAGGGAAGAACAUAUGUGUAAGUAACUGUGCACAUCUUGACGGUACCUAAUCAGAAAGCUACGGCUAACUACGUG
rnacentral:rRNA from 1 species